rnacentral:rRNA from 1 species
UACGUAGGGGGCAAGCGUUAUCCGGAUUUACUGGGUGUAAAGGGAGCGUAGGCGGCGAUGCAAGUCAGAAGUGAAAGCCCGGGGCUCAACUCCGGGACUGCUUUUGAAACUGUGUUGCUAGAUUGCAGGAGAGGUAGUGGAAUUCCUAGUGUAGCGGUGAAAUGCGUAGAUAUUAGGAGGAACACCAGUGGCGAAGGCGGCUUACUGGACUGUAAAUGACGCUGAGGCUCGAAAGCGUGGGGAGCAAACAGG